UGGCGUCCUAGUGUCUCCAGCCUCCGGUCUCUUCGUCGUCUUUGUUGCAGAGUAGUGGCCUUGGUCAACUUGAUAAUCAACCGGAGUCCCAAACUAAUCAGCAAUCAAAAGUACUACUGGAGUGCUCCAGCACAGCAUUAUUUUGCUCCCUGACAGUGCCUCGUCAGCCUCCCCCGGCCCCGCUGGUCAGUGACCCGGGCUAGUUUUCCCCUCGCAUUUGCUUCUUCACGGAUAGGAUCGCGAAGUGGUAUUGUGAGAUACGACAAGUUCUCCGGAUGUCCCUCAGCAAGCUUUAACAGGCAAGCAUUUUCCCUAUACUUCUGCCCCUGCAGAAGUCGCUCACCUAUUUUAUUUUGCCUUCUCUCUCAUGCUAUCCUUAAGUUGCGUUCUUGUCACGUGUCCUAUCCACCUGUUACCUCAAGCAGCCCAUAUUGCCACCACCACCUCCUACAACUAUUGUUUGGUUUCGGGUCUGCCUUGCGAGUCGUAGUGCAUGCUAGUGCUGUUUAUAUCUCGUUACCGAUACUGCUAUCUUAUCGUGUUAUCUGUUGGGGAACAUGACACAUGGUUUAUGGAUAUAUAUGUUGAGGAUAUCA